GCACUCACCUCAGCAGUACAGAUACUAAAAUUGGAAUGAUACAGAGAUUAGCAUGGCCCCUGCACAAGGAUGGCACACAAAUCCAUGAAACAUUCCAUAAUAAA
rnacentral:snRNA from 1 species